rnacentral:rRNA from 1 species
AGCGAACGCUGGCGGCAGGCUUAACACAUGCAAGUCGAACGCUCGUAGCAAUACGGGAGUGGCAGACGGGAGAGUAACACGUGGGAACGUGCCCUUCAGUUCGGAACAACCCAGGGAAACUUGGGCUAAUACCGGAUACGUCCGCAAGGAGAAAGAUUUAUCGCUGAAGGAUCGGCCCGCGCCUGAUUAGCUAGUUGGUGAGGUAAUGGCUCACCAAGGCGACGAUCAGUAGCUGGUCUGAGAGGAUGAUCAGCCUCACUGGGACUGAGACACGGCCCAGACUCCUACGGGAGGCAGCAGUGGGGAAUCUUGGACAAUGGGCGCAAGCCUGAUCCAGCCAUGCCGCGUGGGUGAUGAAGGCCCUAGGGUUGUAAAGCCCUUUCGGCGGGGAAGAUAAUGACGGUACCCGCAGAAGAAGCCCCGGCUAACUUCGUGCCAGCCGCCGCUGUAACAC